UUUUCUGCCACCGAAUACAUUACGCAUGGGAUAAUGGAAUAGGACCCUGUCCUCCUAUUUUCAGUUGGUUUUGGCAGCGCGAGGACUAGGGUAAUGAUUAAUAGGGAUAGUUGGGGGCAUUAAUAUUUAAUUGUCAGAGGUGAAAUUCUUGGAUUUAUGAAAGAUUAACUUCUGCGAAAGCAUCUGCCAAGGAUGUUUUCAUUAAUCAAGAACGAAAGUUAGGGGAUCGAAGACGAUCAGAUACCGUCGUAGUCUUAACCAUAAACGAUGCCGACCAGCGAUUAGGAGACGUUGAAUACAAAACACCACCAUCGGCGCGGUCGUCCUUGGCGUCUGUCCCUUUCAACGGGGGCAGGCGCGAGGGCGGUUUAGCCCGGUGGCACCGGUGAAUGACUCCC
rnacentral:rRNA from 1 species